CUCUAGAUUGUUUUAAUUAAUACAUCAUUAAGCUAGAGCAAAAGCAUCACCUUUCAUAUACUUCAUCAUAUCGCAUCCAUGUUUACUGGUGAAAUGAAUGUGUGCAACAUUUUGUCUUUAAGUACAGUUAGUAAUAUUAUGUUAAUAUUUUUUCGAUAUUUGCUGUGUUGGUGUAAUGCACUCAGGUGAAUAAGACGCUUGUGAUGUUACUCUGAGUGUAUAUCCACACCGGGCAAGCUUGAAAAAUAUGCCUGGCCACGGUUGGAAUCGAACCUACGACCUUUGGAAUACUAACCCAUUUUUUCGAUUUUAAAAUAAAUAAAUUUUAUCAACAUCAAUUAUGUAGUGUGUGAUCUUUUUAUUAAUUUGUGAUGAGCAAGGGAAGACUAUACACCGAAAAUCAUGAAAACCAUACAUACCAUAAACCUCC